rnacentral:lncRNA from 1 species
CAGCCACCCAGGCUGGGAUUAGCAUGAGGAACUGCAAGGCUGGCACUUCAGCGUCUGGGUUAAAAAUAUUUUAAAGCAGUAAAUGCAGUCAGUACAGAGAGAUCCCUGGGAGCCUUUCUAUUCAAAAAUGUGUGAGCUCAGGGCAGCGACUGCAAUGUAAUUUAGGGCAGUGUAUGCUUCAUAGCUUUGGAGAAUAUUGCUUCCCGCUAAUGUUCCAUCGGAGGAUGGUAGGAUAGUAGUAAUUUUAGAAGGUGGUAUUCCUGUUUGUCUUACAUCAAAAACUUCAGAAUAAAUAAAAGGACAAAUCAACUGAACAAGAAAUGUAACUAUGGAAAAGUACCAAUGAAUCUAAAUUUGAACUGAACAGAUACAAAAUCAGCAUGGGUGUAGGAAUAUUUUUAAGGCGGAAGCUACGGCAACAGCGACUUCCCAGGGAAUGAACUGCACAGGCUUCUUAAUCAUCCACGGUGUAAAGACACACUUCAAGAGGAUCUUUAGAAGUGUUGGACAAGCUUCACCACGCGUGGCAGAGCCAUCCAACCUGUUCUUCCCAGUGUUAAAGAACUUGCCUGCCGAUGCAGGAGACAAAAGAGAUCUCAGAAGAUCCCCUGGAGGAGGGCGUGGCAAUCCGUUUCAGUGUUCUUGCCUGGGAAAUCCCAUGAACAGAGGAGCCUAGCAGUCCAUAGGGUUGCAAAGAGUUGGACAUGACUGAAAUGACUUACUACGCAUGCAGCCAGUUCUUAGGACUUUAAAAAAAUUUUUGGUUUUGGUCUAGCCCUUUUCUUUGGAAUUUCAUGCCUAUUCAAUGAAGGUGCCUUAAUUGAAUCUCCUAGUUUAACAUCUGAUCAUUUAAGCUCCACUAGGUGUGAUCACUGACCUAGAGCCAGACAUCCUGGAAUGUGAAGUCAAGUGGGCCUUAGAAAGCAUCACUAUGAACAAAGCUAGUAGAGGUGAUGGAAUUCCAGUUGAGCUAUUCCAAAUCCUGAAAGAUGAUGCU